rnacentral:rRNA from 1 species
GUAUUACCGCGGCUGCUGGCACGGAGUUAGCCGGUGCUUCCUCUAGAGGUACCGUCAAUCCCAACGGGUAUUGGCCGUUGGAGGUUUCUUCCCUCUUGACAGAGCUUUACGAUCCGAAAACCUUCAUCACUCACGCGGCGUUGCUGCGUCAGGGUUUCCCCCAUUGCGCAAAAUUCCCCACUGCUGCCUCCCGUAGGAGUCUGGACCGUGUCUCAGUUCCAGNGUGGCUGAUCAUUCUCUCAAACCAGCUAUCCAUCGUAGCCUUGGUAGGCCAUUACCCUCCCAACUAGCUAAUGGACCGCGGACUCAUCUGAUAACAAUAGCUUUCAAGAAGAGGCCAUCUUUUCCCGCUGCCUCCNAAAAGGCUGNGGGCUUAUCCGGUAUUAGCACCUCUUUCGUGGUGUUAUCCCAGAUUAUCAGGCAGAUUAUCCACGUGUUACUCACCCGUGCGCCACUUNUACUCAAGAACCGAAAGUCCCUUUUUUCGUUCCAACCUUGCAUGUGGUUANG